rnacentral:rRNA from 1 species
AGAGUUUGAUCCUGGCUCAGGAUGAACGCUAGCUACAGGCUUAACACAUGCAAGUCGAGGGGCAGCAUUUUAGUUUGCUUGCAAACUAAAGAUGGCGACCGGCGCACGGGUGAGUAACACGUAUCCAACCUGCCGAUAACUCUGGGAUAGCCUUUCGAAAGAAAGAUUAAUACCGGAUGGCAUAGGAUUAUCGCAUGAUAAUCCUAUUAAAGAAUUUCGGUUAUCGAUGGGGAUGCGUUCCAUUAGGCAGUUGGUGAGGUAACGGCUCACCAAACCUUCGAUGGAUAGGGGUUCUGAGAGGAAGGUCCCCCACAUUGGAACUGAGACACGGUCCAAACUCCUACGGGAGGCAGCAGUGAGGAAUAUUGGUCAAUGGACGAGAGUCUGAACCAGCCAAGUAGCGUGAAGGAUGACUGCCCUAUGGGUUGUAAACUUCUUUUAUACGGGAAUAAAGUGAGCCACGUGUGGCUUUUUGUAUGUACCGUAUGAAUAAGGAUCGGCUAACUCCGUGCCAGCAGCCGCGGUAAUACGGAGGAUCCGAGCGUUAUCCGGAUUUAUUGGGUUUAAAGGGAGCGUAGGUGGACUGGUAAGUCAGUUGUGAAAGUUUGCGGCUCAACCGUAAAAUUGCAGUUGAUACUGUCAGUCUUGAGUACAGUAGAGGUGGGCGGAAUUCGUGGUGUAGCGGUGAAAUGCUUAGAUAUCACGAAGAACUCCGAUUGCGAAGGCAGCUCACUGGACUGCAACUGACACUGAUGCUCGAAAGUGUGGGUAUCAAACAGGAUUAGAUACCCUGGUAGUCCACACAGUAAACGAUGAAUACUCGCUGUUUGCGAUAUACAGUAAGCGGCCAAGCGAAAGCGUUAAGUAUUCCACCUGGGGAGUACGCCGGCAACGGUGAAACUCAAAGGAAUUGACGGGGGCCCGCACAAGCGGAGGA